UCCCGUGUGGCUCAGUUGGUAGAGCAUGGCACAUGGAACGUCAGCGUUGUGGGUUCGAUUCCCACGGGGGGAC
rnacentral:tRNA from 1 species